AAUGAGGGCUCCACUUUCUCCGCAGCAGGCAUGUGCUGCUGGUUACUGGUCUUUGCCACUUUGAUUGAGACAGACUGACUGGGGAUUUCUCCAUCACUGCUGCCCAUAGGAAGAACAAAGAUAGGAAGAGUGGAUGCAGCAGAUUUUAUACUAGGCACUGUCCUGGAGCCAGAGAUCCCAGAGGGAACAAGCCUCCUACCCUACCAAACUUAUCUCCUGUGACCUUCUUUCCUGAGUCAAGCUGGGAUCUUCUUUGCUCUGUGUGGGCAGGUUUACAUCACAGCUUGGCAAUCUCUCCCUUUGGACCAGGGUCUGCGGUGCAGGAGACGGAAGAAGUGAAGACGGCAGCAAUAAAACAAUUUCUACUGGUUAAAUAGCUUCCUGCCACAGCCUAGAUCUCUGCUGCUAUCAGAAUUAGUUUUGAAAGUUCUUAUGAUGAGGAGGAAAUGGUUGCUGCAGGAGACUCAUCAUUGAUUAAACUGCUAAGAAUAGGUUACUCUUUCUGUAAUGGUGGUACUAUUUCUGUAGUACGGUAGCCCAAUGUUCACUCAAUAAAGGACUAUACAAAUACCAACUGACAUUCAAGAACCUGGAAACAUCAUAAAGGAAAAUCAGAGGAAAGGAAUGGCUACAAACUCACAGCUACCAACAGCAACAAAUAGCACUAUUCAAAAAUGAUGAAAAGCCUGCUUCUUUGUAAGCUGAUUACAUAACAGCUUCAUGUGCUAGAGACAAACAAUGCUUAUUAUAGGUCUCAUCAACAUAGUUUCUUCCACUUGAUCUGAUAAUUGUUUCACAGGUGGUCACAAGACCAUAUCACUAUGAUCUCAGUUUAAAUGCGUUCCAUAGGACAGGGUUAUGUAUACCUCAAAUGGACUGCAUCCAUCUUUCACAUUUUCUUCUAUCAGGAAGAAAUUAGAAACUUCAACUUAAUGACAGCAUUUAGGAAAGAAUCCAUAAAAAGUUAGAGAAAAAUAGAUGAAAAAGCAAGGAAAAGUAAGGAAGACACAAGCAAUAUUCUUCAAAGAUCUGUAUGGUCUCAUAAAGGAGUAUAUCAUGAUAUAUUAUAUAAUAAAGUUCUUUUAAAAAGAUAGUGUAAGUUUACUUUCUUCUGCUUAUAAUCAAUAGAGCGUUCCUUUCAGAUUUUUUGUUAGACACAUAUGCUGGGAAGGCCAAUUACAGGGUGCAUGGUAUCUGCAUAGAAUUAUUGCAGUUAUGGAUAUCUAAAAGCCAGGCUCACAGUACAUGAAAUCAUCAAUCUUUUUAAAAUAUUCAAGUGUAUGGUUAUUACUUCUAGAUUUAAUUUAUUCCCAAUUAAGUUGUCUUAUUACCAGACUUAUGUAUUCCAUUUUCUAAACACCCUUAUUUGUUUGCUUCUCUGUAUUUCAUAUAAAUGUAUCAAUUCCUAGUCAUAAUUCCUUGCAUCCCUUAUUCCAGCACACAUCCCAUUAAUAUUUGCUGAAUGGGGAUUUUAUGAUUAAAGUAAGUUGCUUACUUUGGGUCCAAAAUGCCAAUGGUUUAAUUAAUGUUACUCAUUUCCUACAAAAAUUGCUAAGCGUUUAGCUCUUAUCUUCAAGGGAAUUUUUUCUUUUGUAUUUGCAUUAAACAUAAACAUAAGCUUUGUGGAGGUUAAUGUAAGUCUUGGCUUGUAAGCACUGAGAUGGAAACCAAGGAAAGAGGAUAACUUUAUCAACAAAUACUUGUAAUAUUUAUUUCACAUAAUUAUUUUAAAAGCCUUACAACAUGUUAUUGCCUUUCAUGCUGCAGGGUUCUCAGUGUACCAGCAGAUAAACAGACUUUGGCUUUGUGAGGCAGUAGCAGUGCCAGUCAGUGCUCUGCUCUGAGGAAGACAGUGCCCUUCCUGUGAAAGGGCAGAUCACACCAGUGCAGCGAGGUCUACCAUGUUCCAAGUGCACAGCAUUUCAAGCAGCCCUUUGUCUGUCUACUUCUCAGUCCACAAGGUACUGGCUACACUUUCUUCAAAUAGUUAAAUGCUGUCAAAAGAGACUUGGUUUUUAUCCCGGGAAAAUAAAGAAGGCUUUUUUACCCUCAAUUUGUGUGCCAUUCCUAGCUCUUGCAGAUGAAGAAUGAAAUAAACACUGCUCUCAGGAUUUUGAAUCUUUAAUAAUGUAAUAAAACUGCUAGAUCUAUGGAACCAUUGACCC
ensembl:lincRNA